AGGUGCGAUCAUACCAGCACUAAUGCACCGGAUCCCAUCUGAACUCCGCAGCUAAGCGUGCUUGGGCGAGAGUAGUACUAGGAUGGGUUACCUCCUGGGAAGUCCUCGUGUUACACUUC
rfam:Phaseolus vulgaris cultivar G19833 chromosome 6, whole genome shotgun sequence.